GUAGGUGAACCUGCGGAAGGAUCAUUAUAUAUUACUUAUUUUGUUCUGUUCUUUUAACGAGCAGAGCAAUUUAUUAUCCAAGAGUGUGAUUUAUUUAGACAAUCGUUUUUUUAUACAACAAAAACAACCAAAAAACAACCAAAAAACAUAUUGAUAAAAGAACCAAAAAGAAAAACUAUACUAAUAGAGUAUUGUAAAAAUAAACAAAAAACAACUCUAGGCAAUGGAUACCUUGGUUCCCGCAUCGAUG
rnacentral:misc_RNA from 1 species